rnacentral:rRNA from 1 species
GCGAGUGAAGCGGGAAGAGCUCAAAUUUGUAAUCUGGCACUUUCAGUGUCCGAGUUGUAAUCUCGAGAAGUGUUUUCCGCGCUGGACCGCAUACAAGUCUGUUGGAAUACAGCGUCAUAGUGGUGAGAACCCCGUAACUGAUGCGGAUGUCCAGUGCUUUGUGAUACACUUUCGAAGAGUCGAGUUGUUUGGGAAUGCAGCUCAAAUUGGGUGGUAAAUUCCAUCUAAAGCUAAAUAUUGGCGAGAGACCGAUAGCGAACAAGUACCGUGAGGGAAAGAUGAAAAGCACUUUGGAAAGAGAGUUAACAGUACGUGAAAUUGUUGGAAGGGAAACGCUUGAAGUCAGACUUGCUAUGUGGAUUUAUUCACUUCGCAGGCCAGCAUCAGUUUCUGGGGGUGGAAAAGGGUUUGGAGAAGGUAGCAACUCCGGUUGUGUUAUAGCUCCUUGCUGGAUUCAUCUUUGGGGACUGAGGAACGCAGCGCGCUUUUUGCAAGGCUCUCGAGCUUUUCGCGCUUAGGAUGCUGGUGGAAUGGCUUUAAACGACCC